AUACGGAGGGUGCAAACGUUGCUCGGAAUCAUUGGGCGUAAAGCGCACGUAGGCGGCUUGAUAAGCCGAAUGUGAAAGCCCUCGGCUUAACCGGGGAAGUGCAUACGAAACUGUCAGGCUUGAGUAUGGGAGAGGAUUGCGGAAUUCCCGGUGUAGAGGUGAAAUUCGUAGAUAUCGGGAGGAACACCAGCGGCGAAGGCGGCAAUCUGGACCAAUACUGACGCUGAGGUGCGAAAGCGUGGGGAGCAAACAGGAUUAGAAACCCUAGUAGUCC
rnacentral:rRNA from 1 species